rnacentral:rRNA from 1 species
UACGAAGGGGGGCUAGCGUUGUUCGGAAUUACUGGGCGUAAAGCGCGCGCAGGCGGUCUUCCAAGUCAGUGGUGAAAGCCCGGAGCUCAACUCCGGAACUGCCAUUGAAACUGUUAGACUUGAGGAUGAGAGAGGUGAGUGGAAUUCCCAGUGUAGAGGUGAAAUUCGUAGAUAUUGGGAAGAACACCAGUGGCGAAGGCGGCUCACUGGACCGGCAUUGACGCUGAGGUGCGAAAGCGUGGGGAGCAAACAGG